rnacentral:tRNA from 1 species
AUUUAAAUAGUUUAAUUAAAAUAUUGAUUUGUGGAAUCAAAGAUAUAAUAAUUAUUUUAAAUA